AAGAAGAAAAUCCAAUUUUGUCAAUGGCAGAUUUCUGCAUUGAAAAUAUUGUGGAAAUGCCAACAACGAUGACAAUAAUUGCUAUCUUCCCAAUUUUUCUCUUCAAAGCCUACAGAUUCAACAAACAUCUAAGGGUUAGCUUCUUGUAGUCAUUCUUGGAAAUAAGAACGAUUUCAAGGGGUGGGGAAUUUUAUGACAAAGGGAUGGGAUGAGCUAGAUGAG
rnacentral:misc_RNA from 1 species